rnacentral:misc_RNA from 1 species
ACCGACGAAGGUGACUAUCAGGUCAAACUCAAGAACCUGACGCGUUUCCUUGAAGAUGGCGACAAGGGCAAGGUGACCUUGCGCUUUCGUGGUCGCGAGAUGGCACACCAGGAAAUCGGCCGCAAGCUCAUGGAGCGCGUAGAACAUGACUUGGACGAGCUUGCUGUUGUAGAAUCGCGCCCGAAGAUGGAAGGCCGGCAAAUGAUCAUGAUGCUGGCCCCCAGGAAAAAGUGAUCCGCGGGCAGUUAAACGAGCGUGCCGAUGCCAUCGCAGCAUGACUGUGGUGGCACGGUAUGCUGGCCUCGGGUUUUCUAAAAAAUAUCGUGCGGAGUUAUUCUCA